UCCGACUUAUCACCGGCAGUUUCUUUAGAGUGCCCAACUAAGUGAUGGCAACUAAAGACGAGGGUUGCGCUCGUUGCGGGACUUAACCCAACAUCUCACGACACGAGCUGACGACAACCAUGCACCACCUGUAAACCAGCCCCAAAGGGGAAACCACAUUUCUGCGGCGGUCCGGUCCAUGUCAAGCCUUGGUAAGGUUCUUCGCGUUGCAUCGAAUUAAUCCGCAUGCUCCGCCGCUUGUGCGGGCCCCCGUCAAUUCCUUUGAGUUUUAGCCUUGCGGCCGUACUCCCCAGGCGGGGCGCUUAAUGCGUUAGCUGCGGCACGGAACUCGUGGAAUGAGUCCCACACCUAGCGCCCAACGUUUACGGCGUGGACUAC
rnacentral:misc_RNA from 1 species